rnacentral:rRNA from 1 species
AUUGAACGCUGGCGGCGUGCUUAACACAUGCAAGUCGAACGAAGUGGCGAACGGGUGAGUAACGCGUAAUCACCCUGCCCUUCAGAGGGGGACAACAGUUGGAAACGACUGAUAAUACCGCAUACUGAAGGAGGGGAUUGCGUCUGAUUAGCUAGUUGGAGAGGUAACGGCCCACCAAGGCGAUGAUCGGUAGCCGGUCUGAGAGGAUUGACGGCCACAUUUGGAACGAGACACGGCCCAGACUCCUACGGGAGGGAGCAGUUGGGAAUUUUCCGCAAUGGACGAAAGUCUUACGGGGCAACGCCGCGUGAGUGAUGACGGCCUUCGGGUUGGAAAGCUUUGUUAAUCAGGACGCGGUACCGGAAUAGAAAGCCACGGCUAACUACGUGCCAGCAGCCGCGGUAAUUC